CACCGUACCCCUUACGCCGGACCCUUGUGUCAGGGCGAAGAGAGGUGGGAGAAGGUGGAGACCCAUAAAAUCAGUAUGUUAGGGGAUAUUUCUACCCAAAACUCAUUUAUUUUUUCACCGCAGCCUCCCCUUACCCGCCUGUUUACCCGCGGUCACGUUCAAUCCCGCCCCCAUCAAGCAAGCUUUCCCCGUGAAAUUUGGUCGCCGAUCUGAUCCCCUUCGCCGCCAAUCCACAUCGCACCGCCGGCCGCCCUCCCCAUCCACGGACCAUUCCUUGGCAAAGCGUGAGCAUGCGGAGCCACUAGCGCGCGCUGAAGAGAAGCAACAGAGGUGUCGUGUGCGAGCGGGCUGGUCCUCCCUCUCUUUGUCCUGCUCUCCUUCCCAUCCAAAUCGCCUCGAUGGUAGCUGCAGUCACGGCCGGCUUCACCAACUUUCAUGGGCAGAGAUCGCCGCUCCGGUGAACGCGGCGGCAUCCUCAAGGAGAGCUCGUGCAGCGCUCACCUCUCACACCACAGAUCAGUGGACCAGGCAGCACCUCCCAUCACCAUCCGCAUUGCGAGACCUGGUGGUAAUAGUAGCAACCAUGGGCCACAUGCAGAGCAGUGCCGCAGGCCUCGCUGGUCAAUGGCGUGGUGUGUUCGGAGGAGGGUGGCCUAGGCGGCAGCUUACUCGACUGCGGUGUCAUCUCGGUGGAGAGACAGGACUCGGCUUCAGGGUCAGAACGAGGAGCGACGGCUGCCGGCAUGAUUUGCUUUUGGAUGGCGAGGGCGGCUUGGGCAGCUACGAGGCUUGCCCUGCUGCUCAGACGUAGGAAUAGAAGCCUGCUUCUUUGUGCAUUCGGGAACCACCAGAAUAGCCUUGAUAUGCCUCGGGUGAAGCAAUGUUUGUCCUCCUCUUCAUUGGAAUGACUUUUGGUGGAGACGCCAAUCCGUGGGUAAGUUGCAGCUAGCUGUCUUCAGUCCAUUCUAUCCCUGCCGCCGCCUGCACCAUGGAUCUAUGCCGCAGGCAUGCUCACGACAUGCUUGAUGAAAUGCCGACAACGAUCAUCUUACACCCCGAUGAUAAUUUUUGCCAUCCAACAGGAUUUUGUUUGUACUGUUUUGGCCACACAAUUAAAGCAUCAUAGCUCAAUCUAGCUUGUCGUUAAUCUGCAAGAAGAAACCGGAAGCUAAGGACCUCUUGACACUACAGCAAGAUCAUCCCAUCCAUGUGCCCCUGGUUUAGAGGCUGGGAGAAUAUAUGCAAUAACUGUGCACAUAGUUAAGUUUAAUUCCAGUAAUGCUUUUAGCAGUUCCACUUUACUGGUUUACGGAUUGUACUCCAUGGGUAUAUAUUCAUUGGCCCUGUUGGCUUUCAUGUACAAUUGAGAUCGAAACAAAGUUCAGCUGAUAUUGAUUAUUCCCAAGUAAUAUAAAAGUAGCAUGCAGAACUUCUCACACUACAAAAUGGGCAAAUGCUGCCUUUAUCACUUCAUCUUGAAGCUCCACUCAAUUUCUGAAGAAAGUAGAUUCUGGUCUUGCAAUGGAGUUUAUGCAUGUCCAGGAUGUACAUUUACUUUUGAUCCUGAAAAGUUUCUUUACGUGCAGUAUGAAGGGGAUUGCCAGGCUCGAUUUGGCUCGUCCCUCCAUGGAUUUGAGAUUUUAAGUACUCAAAUGGAUUCGCAAGACCAAAACAUCAAUGGAGCUUUGAUUGCAAGUGAUUGAGUUGAGAUUCAAUACGUUGGAUGAUGAAUUUCACCCCAAGAGUGAGCGUCAGGUUGGGGAUUUCGACAAGCUCGACAUUGCUACAAGCUUUUGCAAAAAGAUCCUCACAAAAACUGAUGAUUAAUUUUUGUAUUUUCUGUCUUGAUGGUUCUACAAAAAAAACCUCAAAAAUUGAGAGAAUUUACAAAAAUUUAAAUAUUUGGAUCA